CUUGGUCAUUUAGAGGAAGUAAAAGUCGUAACAAGGUCUCCGUUGGUGAACCAGCGGAGGGAUCAUUACAGAGUUGCAAGACUCGCCAAACCCCGUGUGAACAUACCCGAUAGUUGCCUCGGCGGGCUGCCCCAGGGCGGGGCCAGCCGGAAGGACGACGGCCCGCCGGCGGUCUUACCAAUAAACACUUUUUGUCACACUUCAGCUUCAGAAGGACCGCGAAGAAACCAAUCAAAACUUUCAACAACGGAUCUCUUGGCUCUGGCAUCGAUGAAGAACGCAGCGAAAUGCGAUAAGUAAUGUGAAUUGCAGAAUCCAGUGAAUCAUCGAAUCUUUGAACGCACAUUGCGCCCGCCAGUAUUCUGGCGGGCAUGCCUGUCCGAGCGUCAUGUCGACCCUCAAGCGGCCCAGCUUGGUGUUGGGGCCCCCGCGGGCUCACCGCGGGGCCCUGGAAAUCAGUGGCGGGCUCGCCGCGGCCCUGGGCGUAGUAUGUCUCCCCGUGCCUCGCCUGCUGGACGACGCGGCUUGCUCCGGCCGUAAAACCCCCCCCACCGAGAGCCCGGGCCACCGGGCUCCAAAAGGUUGACCUCGGAUCAGGUAGGACUACCCGCUGAACUUAAGCAUAUCAAUAAGCGGAGGA
rnacentral:rRNA from 1 species